AUUGAACGCUGGCGGCAGGCCUAACACAUGCAAGUCGAGCGGAGCGGCGGACGGGUACGUAAUGCCUAGGAAUCUGCCUGGUAGUGGGGGAUAACGUCCGGCAACGGGAGCUAAUACCGCAUAAUAUCAGAUGAGCCUAGGGCGGAUUAGCUAGUUGGGGGGGUAAAGGCCUACCAAGGCGACGAUCCGUAACUGGUCUGAGAGGAUGAUCAGUCACAUGGGAACUGGGACACGGUCAGAACUCCAACGGGAGGCAGCAGUGGGGAAUAUGGGACAAUGGGCGAAAGCCUGAUCCAGCCAUGCCGCGGGUGUGAAGCAGGUUUUCGGAUUGUAAAGCACUUUAAGUUGGGAGGCGUUACCAACAUAAUAAGCACCGGCUAACUUCGUGCCAGCAGCCGCGGUAAUUC
rnacentral:rRNA from 1 species